rnacentral:tRNA from 1 species
AAAAAAUUAGUUAAUGUAUAAUCUAAGCUUGUCAAGCUUGAGUUGUUGCUUGAGCAACAUUUUUUA